AAACAAAAACUAAUUUAAAUAGACUUUCUUUUUCUUGGAUCGGGGCUUUCAAUCAACAGUCAAAACGUUACCAUCCUUAAGUAACAUUAGGAGAAGAUUCCAUUCUUUUGGAGCUCCCUGCACAGAUCUUGGACAGGUCUUAGUGACCAGUUCUGGGGUGACAGAGAGGUCCCAGUUAAGUUCCUGUUGGGCCAGAAUAGUUGAAAACAUGAUUAAUAAUCAAAGUGAAACUAGACUUGUGAUAUAAGGAAACAAAUCGAGAGACUACCAAGGAGGGAAGAAACUACUGGAAUGCACUGAGAGAGUGAAAGUGAGCAGAUUGUAUCUCCGUGGGAAAAAUGACAAAGCUAUACUUCAGGAAAAACAGCCUGGCUGAAACAACAGUUGCCUUCUGAGUUGUGCUGGAAAAGCCGAAUUCCAACAUAGUUGCUAGAUGAAGCUGUGCAAUCCCAGUCUCCUCUUCUUGACAAUGGAAUCCGGCUUUGGAACCACCCCGAAGAAGUGAGCUGGACACUAAAUGGAGCUAGAGACUGAGUGCUGAGAUCAGCAUGGCUACAGGAGGCUGCAAGUGUGGGGACUUGGAGAAAGGCCAAGGAUGUGUGAAUAGAAAGCAUUGGAAUUGAUUUUAAAAAUCCUACUAGCUGGAAUCCUGAUGCAAACCUUUUAGACUGGAAAGGUGAAGCCCAGACUGUAUGCAACUGCAAAACUGUAAGAUUCCCCUAUACCCAGAAUUGUGAUGCAAUGCUUUUGGGUCACACCCAGAUGUGUUGUUGUUGUUGUUGUUAAUAUCUCUAUUCCAAAUGCAGUCGGGAUUGAGAAGCACUCCUAGAUCACAGCUGUUGGGACUGGAAAUGCCACUGCGUAAUUUUGCAGGUGAUGGAAGAGAGGGGAAAUAUCUCUGGAGCCGUGCUUGAGACGACUAGGAAUUUUAUGAACCUAUGAAUCACAUGAUCCUUUGAUAUCUAUUUAUAUACAUAAACUGUAAUAUAUAUAAAUAUUUGUUUUUAUAUAUAUACACACAUCCUUGGAUGCAUAUUUAUACCCUCUAUUUACAUAUAAACAAAUUUAUUAUUUCAAUUUGGUUUUAAAUAAUUUGUUUAGAGGGCAGGUGUUUGCUCUGUGGUUAAGACACCGCUUGGGGUGCCUGCAUCCUGUAUCAUUGUCCGGGUGGGAGUCCUGGCACUGCUUUCAGUUCCAGAUUCCUGACAACACACACAUUUGGGAGGCAGCAGAUGACAGUUCAAGUACUUGGGUCCCUGCCACCCAAGUGUGAGACCUAGAUUGAGUUCUGGCCUCUUGGUUUCAGCCUGGUCAAACCCUGUUUGUUGCAGGAUUAUGGAGAAUGAACAAGCAGAUGAGAGCCCACUAUCUGUAUGUCUAUCUCUGUAUCUCUGUCUUUCAAAUUAAUAAUAAUAAUUAAAAAAACCAAGAUAAUCUGUUUAAAACAAUAUGCUUCAAAUCCUAAAAGUACUCUUUCAGGUAUGCAAGCACCUUAAAUCAAAAAUAUUUACACAUGUCCACAAGGCGGCGCUAAUGACCUGCGAAUGUAAGUGGUGUAAUUCAGAAUAAAAAUUAAAUUGACAAUCAAAUAUUUGUACAUGUUGCAAUAAUUUGCUUCAGCAAUUCUUCUCCAGAAACAAAAGGUUAUACUUUAUAAUGACAGAAAUAUAGAUUGCUUUCUAGGCCUUAAAAAUAAUUUCUGUGUGCCCACAAUACAGUUAGGAGUUCUCUGGAAAAUAUUUUCUUGCGGAUAUGUUACUUAAAAUUUCUAAUUCAAGUGCUUGAAUGUUGCCAUAAACUGAUCAUUUAAACAUAUCAUAAGUUGUGUAGAUAUAAUUUUUUCAAUGUCUAAUAUAAAAAUAAUUUUCAAUGCCUAAUUUAUUUUCUAUAAAAAAUUAGUUUCACCAGAUCAAAAAGUAAUUUAUUUUUCCUGUGACUAUGAAUUACUCAAAAUAGAUUUUAUUCAUUUUUUUCCUGAAUUUCUGAAACUCAAAACAUGCUCAGAGUUAAAAAAUAUUUAAAAUUUUUUGGUGGCUUUCCAAAUUUGAGGAGAUAAAACACUUUACUUGUUUUGGAUUUUAAAUAGUAAAUCAUUUUUGAAGUUUUAACUUUAUAGUGAAAGAGCAUUCUAAAAUACAAACACACAAAGUAUCUGGAAUUUUCUCCAAAUAAACAUUAUGAGUAUCUUUUGCUUAUUUAUUAUUUAUUUAUUUGAUUGGUAGAGAGACAGAGAAUCUGAGACUAAGAGAGAUCUUCAAUCUGCUAGUUCACUCCUCAGUUGUCUGCCACAGCUGGGGCUGGGCCAAGCCAAGGCGGGAACAAGGAGCUGCAUCCAGGCCUCUCACAUGGGUAGCAGGGACCCAAGUACCUGAACCAUCACCUGUUGCCUCCCAGGGUGUGCAUUAGCAGGAAGCUGGAAUGGAGAUCAGAGAUAGUGAAGAAAGGAUAAUUCCUAUGCAGGAAGCGCGAGAUUUAGUGAGUUUAAAGGCAUUGCUGCAGCGCAAAUUAAGGGACUUGUUACUUCGCUCUUCCUACUCCCAGUGCCUCCUUCUUAUCUAACAGGAUGAAAGGUUUUCCAAUAUGGAAAGUGUCAAAGCAUCUUACCUUUUGAGCAACAGACUUUUAAAAUCAAUAUAUUUAUUUAUUUGAAAGGUGAAGUUACAGAGAGAGAAGGAGAGACUGAGAGAGGUCUUUUAUCCCCUGGUGUACUCCCCAAUGGCCACAAUGACCGGGAAUAGGCCAGGCUGAAUCCAGAAGCCAGGAGCCUCCUCUGGGUCUCCCACAUAGGUGCAUGGGCCCAGGAACUUGGGCCAUCUUCCGCUGCUUUCCCAGACCAUUGCAGAGAGCUAAAUCAGAAGUGAAGCAGCCAGGACUUGAACCAGCUGCCCGUACGGAUGCUGGUGCUGCAGGCCAUGGCUUAACCCAUUACGCCACGGCAUUGGCCUGAGCAACAGAAUUUCUACCCAACAGGCAAGUUUGUAAAGCAAGCAUGAGUUUGGUUUCUAAUGCGGGUCCUUCUGGACAUUUGGCUCUUUGGUAAAAGAUGAUUGUGAGAGGAGCAGAGCAAAGCCUUUGGGCCAAACCACGAAGCCUUGAUUUUUUAGUAUCCCAAGAA